UACGGAGGGUGCAAGCGUUAUCCGGAUUCACUGGGUUUAAAGGGUGCGUAGGCGGUUGUUUAAGUCUGUCGUGAAAUCCCCGGGCUCAACCUGGGAAUGGCGAUGGAAACUGGGCAGCUAGAGUGUGUCAGAGGAUGGUGGAAUUCCCGGUGUAGCGGUGAAAUGCGUAGAGAUCGGGAGGAACAUCAGUGGCGAAGGCGGCCAUCUGGGACAACACUGACGCUGAAGCACGAAAGCGUGGGGAGCAAACAGG
rnacentral:rRNA from 1 species